rnacentral:sRNA from 1 species
CCGCUUAUUCAUAAGGAUAUUCUGUCAACAUAUUCAUGAAUGGAUCAUUUUGAAACGGAUACUGAUUUGGAUCCAAACUCAUAUUCUGGUUCAAAUUCAUAUCAUAGUUUCCUUGUUGAAUCUGAUGAUUAAAAUCAACAGGAGCUUGGUAUUGAACCGGCUCCUGUUGAUUUUGAUUCAAAUUCAUAUUCUCAAACUGAAAAUGAUCACUAAAACCAGUAGGGACAUAGGGCUGAACCGGCUCAUACUGAUUCUGAUUCAUAGGAAGACCGGCACCUGCAACACCAAGAGCUUGGUAGUGAACCGGCUCUUGUUGAUUUUGAUACAAAUUCAUAUGCUGAUAUUGAACAUUAUC